AUGAUGAUUUGUAAGACAGGUCUUCUGUUUUUAACCUUUUACCUGGCAGGUGUUGGUGGUCAGACUCUGACUGAAUCUGAACCAGUGGUUAAAAAGCCAGGAGAGUCCCACACCCUGACCUGUACAACCUCUGGUUUCACUUUUGGAGAUUAUUGGAUGUACUGGAUCAGACAAGCACCUGGGAAAGGUUUGGAAUGGGUUGCAACUAUCAGUUUUUGGGCUGGAAGUGACAAACGCUACUCUCAGUCGGUACGAGGCCGGUUCACCAUCUCCAGAGACAAUGGUAAACAGCAGGUGUUUCUGCAGAUGAACAGUCUGAAAACUGAAGAUUCAGCUGUUUAUUACUGCGCUCGAGGUGCACAGUGAUCAAAGUUGGUUUGGUAGCUGUACAAAAACAUGCAGCAACAAGUUGACAAACCUCAAACCUGAUGUCUAAAUUUGCUGUAAUGAAAGAACAUUUAUUUGACAAAGGUUUUUUUGUUUUUUCUUUAAAUGCAAGGAAAUAUGUGCAAGACAAAAAAGUGACAGGAAAACAACAAACAAAUAAAUAAAUGUUAAACAACGUGUGGAUGUAAAUAAAAAUUGUUUUGUACUUUCAGCUCCUUUCUCCAGUCAGCAAACGUAACCUGACUGUUACAUUACUGUGGCAGUAAAAUGAUUAACAUCAUCCAUUCAUAUUC